rnacentral:sRNA from 1 species
GCUGGGCGCAGUGGUGCACACCUGUAAUCCCAGCAGCUUGGGAGGCUGAGGCAGGAGGGUUGAGAGUUCAAAGCCAGCCUCAG